UUGAGGUCCCUUCCAACCCGGGUCAUUCUGUGAUUCUGUGAUUUUCACAGCCCUUGAACCCACCCAACUGAUGCCAAUCCAGAGAAAGGCACUGUGGGUCCCUGUGUCAUUUGAGGUAUAUUUGAAUGUGUGCUAAGGCAUUUCAUCUCAGUGGUGGUCACAGAGUGAGCUGAAGAUCUGCAUUUAAGGUCCUUUCCUUUUCCUAGAGGAACUCCAACAGCCUGCAAUGAGUUUAACAUACACUGUAUGUUGUAUGUUUGUGCUCAAAUAAAUGUAAAACUGAUUUCCUCCCUUUGUUUGCAUGUGGUGCAGACAAGUGGGGAAGAUUUGUCCCAAACGACACCAGCUCCCCACCUUCCUCCUAACACAGUUUCUCCCCUGCUUUGUAUUGGCUCUGUGGGAAAAGGGUGAUUACGGUGGAGGGAAAGGCUGUUAUUUAAAUAAGAAAAUCUGUUUCACAGUGUAUUGGCACUGAGACUGGAACAGUGUGGUUGCCCACUCCUCUCUCAGUCCCCACAAGUUCGUUCCUCGCUGGGGAUUAUUGGUGCCUUUGUCUGUCUAGUUCGAAAUGUCACAUUUCCUCCUGCAAUUAGAAGGAGCUUUUAUCCGUGGGAUGGAUGCGUGUCUGAGGGGGGUGUUUUCAUUCCCACUAGGUGAAUGUUUUAGUAAGCAGUGUCCAAAACAUCGCACAAAUACUUGAAAGGAAACGUUUUAGUAAUACUAAAAGGCUGUUAUUUCAGCUUGCACGACCUUUCAGAUAUCGCUGCGAACUCACAAGAUGGAAGGAGCUUAUAAAAGGAAACAUGGUCUUAUUUUUAAGCUGCGGCAUAGGAGAGAGUUGGUUUAAGUGUGCUCAGAUCCCAAAGGGAACCACUCUUGCUCUUGCCAGGCCAGUGCCACCCCUCAUGAGGUCCCUCUAGGCAGCUGGCUGUAAACUUCCACCACAUUUUGGUGGAGAGAAGGCAAAAGAUGCCAAAAGGGCACAAACCACAUGUGCAGUAGCCUAUGGCAAUGCACCAGUUUCAUGUCCAGCUCCGAGGGUGUCAGCACCCCAAUGCUGGAAGAAGAUCAGCCCAUGUAUUGGCCACAGCUAUGGCCAGGGGGCGAUGCAGCCCUUACCAUAUGGAUCCUCAGCUCAGUCGAAGCCAAAACAUGAAGCCUUUGCUGCAUUUAGAUGGAAACCUCAGUUUACAUGGCUUCUGUGUAUCACUCUGCAAGACCAGCUCCCCACUCUCCUACUUUGUAUAUAAAAUGGUUGGAUACUACCUUAUGUGGGCAGCAUUACUUCGCGUUCAGUCUUAGCGAUAAUGGGGCCCAAAGUGGAUCUGCAGUUGACCUGAUAUUUAUAAGUGUGCUAAUUUUAAGUACUGGCACACGAAAAUUCUGUCCUUUGUUUCCAUAAUAAAGUCGAGGUAAAAGUGGGUGAGGGAGAACAUAAAGAGAAAGGAAUCUGUGAGAGGAAAACAGGUGAGAAGGGGGUCCAAAUAUCAUCAGUCUACCAGCAGAUGUAAUUGUCUCACUUCAUAGCCACUUUAGAGCACAGGACAAAAGUUCAAAACUCAAAAGCAAUGAUUUUUGUGUUCAGGUCAGCAUCUUUCUUACAGCGCUCAUUUCAUGUUGCCUGAUGUGUCUGUGUGUCCUACCGCAAUGUUUGGUUGUGCCAUGGGGUGCAAGGUGCUACUUCACUUCUGGGGUGACUGCACGUGUCUAAAGCAAGGCAGUGACCUGAGCUGCUUGUGGCUUGCAGGUAUUCCUCCCCCCCAAUCUCCUUCUAUCUUGUUAUUAUUUCAUAUAGUUUUCCCUCUGUUGCUCUCAUUUAAUUUGCUCUUCGCUUGUUCCUUGAUGUUCUGGCACUGCCUUCACCACACAUCUCACGAGGUUUUUGUGCAGUUCUGACAGGGUUGUUCUGCAGGGAAAUAUAACAGGAUUUUGAAUAUACAAAAGAAAAAGCAUGAAGCCAGACAUGUUAGUAAGGGGCAGGUUUUAAUUACCUAACCAUUAUUGGAUUACUCCAGAGUAGAGGAAAUAUGACUAAUGCUAUGUCUGUGCUUCUGGCAUACAACUGCUGUCAAAUUCAAUAAGGACUUAUUAAACAUCACAGAGGUGUGACUAAAGAAAACGAUGAACAGAAUGUGGAAAAUAGCAAUCAUGGUCCUAUUGUGUGCACUAUGAAUUUCUAAUCUAGGAGGUGGGAAUGUCUGUGGGGGAAGAUCUGUGAGAAAUUGCUGUAUUUUAUCAGCAAAGUAAAACAAAGUUAGGUUUUGGGGAAGGGAAUCCUAACUGUAAAAGGAUGAGCGAUCAUAGAGUUACAGAAUCGUUUGAGUUGGAAGGCCCUUAAAGGCCAUCUGGUCCAACUUCCCUGCAAUGGACGAGGACAUCUACAGCUCUAUCAGCUGUUCAGAUCCCCGUCCAACCUGACCUUGAAUGUCUCCAGCAAUGGGACGUCCACCACCUCUUUGGACAACCUGUUCCUGUGUAUCACCAUCCUUAAUGUAAAGCAAUGCUCUGACCCUGGUGACCAUGGAGUGCUGCUGAGUCUCAUCUCAUAGCCUUCGUGGAUGCUGAUCCCUUCUUCAAGCAUGACUUAUUCCUUUUAGAUGAGACAACUGUCAGCUGAAAAACUCAGGAAAAUUCUUGAGAUGAGAGACCACGGCAUCUCUGCCCUACUGUGUGUGCCUAGCACUUCAGUAUGAUGCUCUCAUUUUCCAUCUCUCUGGACUGGUUAUGGUAUAUUUGGGGCAUCCCAACUCCAGCUGCAGAGCUGGACAUGGAGAAUGUCCAGCUUUUGGCAUAGUCAUGGCCUGUGGGAGGGCUUUCCCUCACUCAGCUGGCAGUGCUGGACCUGGUCUGCCCCAGGGUAUGGUUGACUCUUUUGUCUGCCAGGGCACAUUGCUGACUCAGAUUCAACUUGCUAUCAGCCAGAACCCCUAUCUUGAUCUGUCAACACUCAGCACCAAAAUAUACCCAGCCUACACAGGCUGGAUGGUGGCUCACUGGUGACAUUUUGGAGAGCUGGAGCUCCUCUUUGCUAACAUAUGAGUGUGAGGAGGCUGAAUAAUUCCUAUUGGGAUACCUACGCUCCAGGAGAUGCAGGACUUCACGUACAUGCUUGGUGUUGCCUACCAACUUGUGACUCCUGUUGAAUUUUCCCCAGCUGUCCAGCUUCAUCCCUCAGAGGUGUCUCUCCUCCCAGUGGAUACAUGGGGAGGUGCCCAGUGCAGGCAACCUGAAUCAUCUGAGGAUGGCACGUCACCUGAUAUUUUUGCUGUCACUGUGCUUAUUCUAAAAGCUUAAGCAGGUCCUCAGCAUCAUGCUUGGAGCCUCCCAAAUCCAGCUCCUCCAAGAUGCACUUUUAUGUAGGAACUGGUACUGAAAACUGCUCUGUAGAGGUAGUACCUGAUAUAAGGCAUGUAAUUUGCUCCUCAGAAAGUGGAGUAUUCGUAGAGCUAGGCUCACUGCUGAUGUAAUAACUGUGGUGACCUCAUCAGAAGCUUUCCAGCCCAUGCCCACAGCAGCCAACUUGUCCUUGCUAUGACUCCCCUCGUAUUACCAGCCCUAUCUUUGAAACAAAGUCAUAAUUGACAAGUGUUUGUCCAUUUUAGUGGAUAAAACAAAUGGAAUGGAAUAUACAGGAAUGCAAUUGGAUGAGGCAGGUGGUUUCACGUGUUGCAACACAAUUGAUCUGGAGCUGUUCCCAUCAGGAUUUGCAUGAUAGAAGCGUGUGAAGAUGUCUGUCGAAUCUGUUUUUUACUGCAUCAUCAGUGCUGAUCAGUGACAAUUCUCUUACCAAGAACAUAGUGGUGGGCUGUAAAGCUGUUAUAAAACAUCCAAGAAACAUUAAAAAAAAAAAAAAAAAAAAAAAAACAAAAACAAAAAAACCCAAAAA